UGGGGAAUUUUGCACAAUGGGGGAAACCCUGAUGCAGCGACGCCGCGUGAUUUAGAAGGCCUUCGGGUUGUAAAAAUCUUUUUUACGGGAUGAAAAUGACAGUACCGUAAGAAUAAGGUCCGGCUAAAUACGUGCCAGCAGCCGCGGUAAUACGUAUGGACCGAGCGUUGUCCGGAAUCAUUGGGCGUAAAGGGUACGUAGGCGGCCUAGUAAGUUAGAAGUGAAAUAAUAUAGCUCAACUAUAUAAAGCUUUUAAAACUGCUAGGCUUGAGAGAUGGAAGGGAAAGUGGAAUUCCUAGUGUAGCGGUGAAAUGCGCAGAUAUUAGGAAGAAUACCGGUGGCGAAGGCGACUUUCUGGUCAUCAUCUGACGCUGAGGUACGAAAGCGUGGGUAGCAAACAG
rnacentral:rRNA from 1 species